ACACACUACAGGCAACAUAGCAGUUGUAGCUGAGAAGGAAGCUCAUAGAAGAAGACUCCUCGGCAAUGAAUUUAAAUGUCUAUCCUCAUAUAAACACCUACUUCAUUUAAACACCCAGCAAACGGGUCUCUAUAAGAAUAAAUGCCUAGGUGCUUCCAUGAGGAAAUACGGUACUUUUACAUUAUACAAGUCAUACUAAUACACUAGUCACUACAUCAUACACUUACUGGGGGUAUCUUCCAAUUAAUGUCUGCCCCAUUAGAGAGGGCAUCCUUCAUUCCUUCAAUAUUUCC